rnacentral:rRNA from 1 species
CCUACGGGAGGCAGCAGUGGGGAAUAUUGGGCAAUGGGCGCAAGCCUGACCCAGCAACGCCGCGUGAAGGAAGAAGGCUUUCGGGUUGUAAACUUCUUUUAAGAGGGAAGAUCAGAACACGGUACCGUAAAAAUACACCACGGCUAACUACGUGCCAGCAGCCGCGGUAAUACGUAGGUGGCAAGCGUUAUCCGGAUUUACUGGGUGUAAAGUGCGAGUAGGGGGGUUUGUAAGUCAGAUGUGAAAACUAUGGGCUCAACCGAAAGAGUGCAUUUGAAACUGUAGGUCUUGAGUGAGGGAGAGGUAGGCGGAAUUCUCGGUGUAGCGGUGGAAUGCGUAGAUAUCGGGAGGAACACCAGUGGCGAAGGCGGCCUGCUGGAAAUUAACUGACGCUGAGGCGCGAAAGCGUGGGGAGCAAACAGGAUUAGAUACCCCUGUAGUC